AUUGAACGCUGGCGGCAGGCCUAACACAUGCAAGUCGAGCGGAUGAAGGGAGCUUGCUCCUGGAUUCAGCGGCGGACGGGUGAGUCAUGCCUAGGAAUCUGCCUGGUAGUGGGGGAUAACGUCCGGAAACGGGCGCUAAUACCGCAUACGUCCUGCGUGAGAAAGUGGGGGGUCUUCGGACCUCACGCUAUCAGAUGAGCCUAGGUCGGAUUAGCUAGUUGGUGGGGUAAAGGCCUACCAAGGCGACGAUCCGUAACUGAUCUGAGAGGAUGAGCCGGCACACUGGAACUGAGACACCGUCCAGACUCCGACGGGAGGCAGCAGUGGGGAAUGUUGGACGAUGGGCGAAAGCCUGAUCCAACCAUGCCGCGUGUGUGAAGAAGGGCUUCGGAUUGUAAAGCACUUUAAGUUGGGAGGAAGGGCAGUAAGUUAAUACCUUGCUGUUUUGACGGUACCAACAGAAUAAGCACCGGCUAACUUCGUG
rnacentral:rRNA from 1 species